GUGCCUAUGGUGUAAAGGUUAACACUCGAGUUUGUGGAACUCGCAAUCUGGGUUCGAUUCCCAGUAGGCACC
rnacentral:tRNA from 1 species